rnacentral:rRNA from 1 species
GAUCCUGGCUCAGGAUGAACGCUAGCUACAGGCUUAACACAUGCAAGUCGAGGGGCAGCAUGAACUUAGCUUGCUAAGUUUGAUGGCGACCGGCGCACGGGUGAGUAACACGUAUCCAACCUGCCGAUGACUCGGGGAUAGCCUUUCGAAAGAAAGAUUAAUACCCGAUGGCAUAAUUCUUCCGCAUGGUAGAGUUAUUAAAGAAUUUCGGUCAUCGAUGGGGAUGCGUUCCAUUAGG